AGGAGACGCGGCUUUUAAGUAAGUCCUAUAGAAAAUGUUGAUACUAUUGUUUUAUUAUAGCAGGAAAUUGAUCUGGUGAGGCUCAGGCCGAAAACUCCAACCUUCUGUGAGUUUUGGUCCCAAUGUCACUUCAGUUUUCAAAGCUUUUGCAGUGCUAUUUGGAUUCAUCCCAUAUGGGCCCCAUCUUGUGGUCUGAGGCCUGACAGGGCUCACCUGCAAGCUCGGUUCUCUGCUGUCUUUGAUAUGGACUUAGGAUCAGCUCUACCCAUAAGCACUGUGAACAUCACUUUCUAGUUCCCUGGGGCUCCCCUUUUUUGGUCCUGUGGCCCAAAAU
rnacentral:lncRNA from 1 species